GCACUGUCCGAGCGCCGGCCCCCUCAGUAGUCCAUGGCGGGCUGGUGGGGAGAUCAAAGAUCUCCGUCACCGGCCCACAUGCAGUAUAUUGCGGCCGCUGGCGGGGAGAGAGGGAGCCAGCCAGGAGAGGAACCCAGCGGAGCUCUAAAGUGCAGCAACGCUCCGGGUCUCGCGGGAGUGAACUCUAGGCCCACAGGCUAGAGUUCACUCACCACUAGGACCACUAGGGAUGGAUGCCAGCAGCAGCAG